AGCAGUGGCGACAGUGGACUUUCCUGUUUACGCGACGGUGAUAAACUGGUACUCCUUAGAUGGAUAAUUCGGAACCGGGCUAUACGGAUGUUGUUGACGCAUGUUCAAACUAAAGUGGUUCGGCUACCACUUACAGUGACCGCGCGCAUUAGCUAGUUGUGAGUACGCUCACCAGCGACGAUGCGUAUCCGACCUGAGAGGUGAUCGGCCACACUGGACUGCACACGCCAGACUCUACGGGAGGCAGCAGUAGGGAUCUUCCGCAAUGGACGAAAGUCUGACGGAGCAACGCCGCGUGAGUGAUGAAGUUUUCGGAUCUAAAGCUCUGUUGUUAGGAAGAACAAUGCGUUCAAAUAGGCGGCACUUGACGGUACCUAACCAGAAAGCCACGGCUAACUACGUGCCAGCAGCCGCGGUAAUACGUAGUGGCAAGCGUUGUCCGGAAUUAUUGGGCGUAAAGGGCCGCAGCGGUUUCUUAAGUCGAUUGAAACCCCGGCUCACCGGGGAGGUCAUUGGAAACUGGGGACUUGAGUGAAUUCAAAGAGAGAUGAAUCCCGUUACGGUGAAAUGCGUAAGAUUGAGACACAUGGCAAGCAUCCUUCUUGCUACCUAGACAGACUGGGACAGAGAUAAACCGGUAUCGCCCUAACAGAUGUAUUAGGGUUCGUCUAUCUCUCUACCUAGCCUGCAGGGAUCGCCGAUAAUAAGAUGCGGGCCCACAGGUGGAGGUUAUUGACAGGAGACUACGUUGACUCUUACAUCUGGUAGACUCCUUGGGCGGGACGUGUGCUGUGUGUCGUGUUGGAAGUGGAAAAUCCGCAGGGCACUGUCUAUGCCGAUCAGUGGCAUUAGUGAUCGUGACAACCGAGAGUGGGAGAGUCAAUCUAUCCUUUGACUGGUAAAGGCAUGGACGGUUACUAGUACGGCCCUAUGUGAACCGCAUGCUUCCGCAUAAAUUCCAGCAGACGCCCAGAAUCGAAAAUACUAGGCUUUUGAGCAGUGCCUCGAUAUCGUUUAAGCAUCAAUAACCCUAUACAUUCUAGCUGAACUUACUUUAUAAGUUCGUGUCGGUCAGUUAGUUUAUGUAUAUGGAAGUACAGUUACGAGUUCAGUGUAGUUCUCGAGAGUAGUUUCCUUGCGAUAUCUUCGAUUUAUAAAGGCGCAUUAGCGUCGAGCGAUUGGACAGUAGUCUCAUCCGCAGCAGAGCCCGAAGCGAUACCGUUCGGUCAGCGUCUGCAG
rnacentral:rRNA from 1 species